rnacentral:lncRNA from 1 species
ACACUGCCAAUCAACGUAAGCAGUGCUGCCUUCGCUUUGAAGCUCUCACUUUUAAGCAACUUCUGAAAUCUCGGCAACGACUUCCUCAAACAGGCAAUAUCCGGAUCUGGCGACGCCUCGAUAGCCGCCGCCAAGCACAAGGAGGCGCCGAUCUGCGAGUUCAUCUCCUGUUCCGUGAAAAGCGCUUCCAGGAACGGCUUGAUAAUGGAUGAGAACGGAGGUCUAGUCAAGUGCGACGAAAUGGAAGCACAAGCAGACACGCAGGCGGCGCGUACAGCGGAAUCAGGAUCACGGAGGCGGCGGACGACGGCGGUGAGAAGCUUCGAGAGAUGAGGAGAGAGUGAGUCGCCGUGGUGCUCGGAGAGAAGAGAGAUGAGGCGGAGGCAUUGUUUACGGACUGGAGAUUUAUCGGAGGAAUCGGUAGCGGCAAUGGAGGAAACA